UGGCCAAAGAUGAUUAUCAUUCAUUAAUAAAGGAAGAUUAUUGUGAUAUUAUUAUGAAUAAUAUUACAAUAAUACAUGGAUACUAAGGAAAUGACAUUUAAUAUUUACACAGCCUAUUAAGUGUAAUGUACACACCUAAGUUAGAUAAUGUCAUGGAUGUCUAUCUUUGGCUUAGUCACCUUGACAAGAAUAGGAUAAAUGGAUUAGC
rnacentral:lncRNA from 1 species